rnacentral:rRNA from 1 species
UAGGGAAUCUUUGGCAAUGGACGGAAGUCUGACCGAGCAACGCCGCGUGAGUGAAGAAGGUUUUCGGAUCGUAAAGCUCUGUUGUAAGAGAAGAACGAGUGUGAGAGUGGAAAGUUCACACUGUGACGGUAUCUUACCAGAAAGGGACGGCUAACUACGUGCCAGCAGCCGCGGUAAUACGUAGGUCCCGAGCGUUGUCCGGAUUUAUUGGGCGUAAAGCGAGCGCAGGCGGUUAGAUAAGUCUGAAGUUAAAGGCUGUGGCUUAACCAUAGUACGCUUUGGAAACUGUUUAACUUGAGUGCAAGAGGGGAGAGUGGAAUUCCAUGUGUAGCGGUGAAAUGCGUAGAUAUAUGGAGGAACACCGGUGGCGAAAGCGGCUCUCUGGCUUGUAACUGACGCUGAGGCUCGAAAGCGUGGGGAGCAAACAGGAUUAGAUACCCUGGUAGUCCACGCCGUAAACGAUGAGUGCUAGGUGUUAGACCCUUUCCGGGGUUUAGUGCCGUAGCUAACGCAUUAAGCACUCCGCCUGGGGAGUACGACCGCAAGGUUG